GUGCCAGCAGCCGCGGUAAUACGUAGGUGGCAAGCGUUGUCCGGAUUUACUGGGCGUAAAGGAUGCGUAGGCGGAUAUUUAAGUGAGAUGUGAAAUCCCUAAGCUUAACUUAGGUGCUGCAUUUCAAACUGGAUAUCUAGAGUGCGGGAGAGGAGAAUGGAAUUCCUAGUGUAGCGGUGAAAUGCGUAGAGAUUAGGAAGAACACCGGUGGCGAAGGCGAUUCUCUGGACCGUAACUGACGCUGAGGCAUGAAAGCGUGGGUAGCAAACAGGAUUAGAUACCCCGGUAGUCCA
rnacentral:rRNA from 1 species